rnacentral:lncRNA from 1 species
GUGCCUGCUGGUGUGUUUUUAGGAAAGACAUUGAACCCCGCAUUGCUCCUGGUGGUCAUGCAUUGGCACCAUCAGUGUGUGGGACGGUCACUAAAGCGCUCUGGGCCUUCGAUAAUGAGAUAAGUGUUCACCAUUUACUCUGAUUUCUGCAGAGCAGCUGUAGUUUAUUAUGAAUUCAUCUCUGAUUUGUUGACAGGACUGACGGCACAGAGCGACCCCGCCCCCCUUCCCUCCCCAGGCAACCCGCCCAGAAUAUUUUCUGUCACUGUUACAGCUAUCCUUCCUUCACGGCUCCACAUGACUCCCGGCGUGUCUUCUGGAGGACCGGCGGCCUAUAAAAACCCUCUGAGAAACACCGACUCACUUCUGCGUCUGCAGCAGGAAGGAGCCGGUUCCAGGAUGGUUUUCAGGACUCUGGGCGUGACGUGCGCCGUCUUCUUCGGGGCGUGGGUCCUCUCGAGCGCCAAAGACGCAGCGCCCCCCACCACCACCACCACCAGCGCCUUCUGCAAGAUCAUCUGGUUGAUCGGAGUCCCCUGCUCUGAGGUCAACUCCGCCAUCGUGACUCAGAUCAAAGCCAUGGGUUCAUACACGGUGUGGAAGCGUCUCGUGUGUCAGUCCUGA